GCUCUUCCGCCGCUGUGGGUCUAGCGAGGAGAACGAGUUUCCUGGCUCUGGGCAUGCGCGGCUCAGAAUAAACGAGCUCUGCCAGAGUAACAUUGUUUCAACUCGCUUCCUCUGUGAUCCACAGAAAUUGGUUGCAAAGGAUUCAUGUGCCUUUGCACCGCUUGAUACUGGCUCAGAUUCCCCUAGGUCUGGUGCCAGUAACAAUUGGGGGCUCGUCCGGGAUCCCGAGUUUCUUGCCAGGAGAGGUUGGUGUGGAGACGACGAGAGACGGUUCCUGAGGCUUCAGGGAAGGCUGCAUUGAGUGUGUCAUCCAGAGAGCUAAGGCAAUCGGUGAAACGUCAGCAUGGCUACCAUCAACCCACGGCGAGCACUCAUAUUCAAGAUACA